AUUGAACGCUGGCGGCAGGCCUAACACAUGCAAGUCGAACGGUAACAGGAAGAAGCUUGCUUCUUUGCUGACGAGUGGCGGACGGGUGAGUAAUGUCUGGGAAACUGCCUGAUGGAGGGGGAUAACUACUGGAAACGGUAGCUAAUACCGCAUAACGUCGCAAGCCCAAAGAGGGGGACCUUCGGGCCUCUUGCCAUCGGAUGUGCCCAGAUGGGAUUAGCUAGUAGGUGGGGUAACGGCUCACCUAGGCGACGAUCCCUAGCUGGUCUGAGAGGAUGACCAGCCACACUGGAACUGAGACACGGUCCAGACUCCUACGGGAGGCAGCAGUGGGGAAUAUUGCACAAAGGGCGCAAGCCUGAUGCAGCCAUGCCGCGUGUAUGAAGAAGGCCUUCGGGUUGUAAAGUACUUUCAGCGGGGAGGAAGGGAGUAAAGUUAAUACCUUUGCUCAUUGACGUUACCCGCAGAAGAAGCACCGGCUAACUCCGUG
rnacentral:rRNA from 1 species